CCACUUGCAGAGCCACAGCACCAUACGUCACCGCAGUUUCAGACCCGCAGUUGUAGACCCGCAGUUUUAGACCCGGAAGUGACAUUACCAUUUCUAGGCAAGGCGAAAACAACGCCUCCAUUUAUCGAACACAACAAGUCUUAGUUUUUAGCACAAGCGCAGCAUUUUCGAGCACAAACAAAAUAUGACAGAAAACAGCACGUAACAUGACAAAACGAAUAUCUUCAGGCACAUGGAUACUAAUUAAAAACAGGAAUCUUCCACAGCAGUUGGUUGGGUCAGUGGAUUGUGGAGUAUUCAUGUUGAUGUAUGCUCUGCACCUUGUCUUGGAUGCGCCAUUUGACUUCACAGCUUGUGAUUUACCCUUGAUCAGGAGGUGCUGGUGCUUUAUUCUAUUGGAGAAUUUUGCUGUUGGAAGGUAUCUCUCUCUCU